CCAUCCAUCUCUCUCUCUCUCUCUCCCUCUCCCUCCCUCUCUCUCUCUCUCAAUAACACACAGUGCGGAGGUUGGAAAGGCUGAUGAAGGCGUUGAUGUUGCUGCAACUCAAGGAAGCAUCCAAAGGGAUCGCAUUGAUCCUUUCCUACAUCAUGAAUAUCUAUGUGUGUCUACAAGAUAUAUGUGAACCAUGUUGAUCAGAGUUCAUAUAUGUGUGUGUUGAAUUUGGAUCAUGCUAUCCCUUUGGAUUCCUCCUUUUGUAGCUUAUAUAACUCUUCCAACAUGAUUAUCAAACCUAAGCUGCUAUAUAUGCAAUCAUCUUCAGUUCUGAAUCAACUCAAAAUUCCAUUCCUGCGGCGUCCAAAAGUGAAUUAUUGGAAGAAGAGAUAAAAUGCAACCACCAAUGGCGCGAUCAAUCGGUUGUUUUGAAUGAAUGAUUAUGGUGAUGAUCGCGGUCUAUGUUCUUCUAUGGUGCAUACAUAAAGAUGAUCAUCACUUGAGUGUGUGUGUUUGUGUGUGGGAUAGCACUUGAUCUCCCACGGCAAAGUCAUGAUCAACAGGCAACUUGAAGCGACUUUAGCCAAACCGGUGCGAAUGAAACAGUAGAGCAGUGGCGUUACGUGGAAAGUUGUUUAUUCACUCACCAUUAGCUAGGUAAUUUGCAUUUACCCUUCUCUUCUUUCUGUUUUUAACAUCACAGCGUUACAUAUUUUACAUAUCAGUACAUACUUCCAACAAUUCCGUUUUACCUUCGGAAAGUAAAGAAAGAACAAUCCACUUUUGCAUGUCAACUAUUGUCAUGAGUACUGUUAACUACCGAUCUUAUGCAUCCUAAAAAUUGCAAGAAAUGGUUGGUUGAUCCAACCCUACCAUGAUAUAUUAGAGGGGGUCUUAAUAUAAUGGAGACUCCAAAUCACAUGUUUAAAGACCUUUAAUAAGAAUCCAAAGCAAGGAAUUAAAGAUGAUAGUUAACAACUUCUUUUGAGCUGCACAUUGAGUGUCGCAAAGGCAAAGGAAUCAUAAAACAUGUGGAGAGAACUAAAAAAGAGCUUUAAACAUGGGCUAUAGUUUUUGAAUAAAGGGGCAACUCUCUCUGGGUGUCUUUAUGAUCGAUCUCUUGUUUCACAUGACCGCAACUUUCAACGACCUCACUCGUGAAUUCACAAUGUCAAGACUCUCAUCACAUGGCCAACCUCCCUCCCCCUCAUUUCAUUAAGUGCGUGUUUGGCAAAGGCCACUUUUGGCUUUAUUUUAUAAAAAGUCAGCUUGUAUUUUCCUGACCUGUUUGUGUAAAACAUCACAAGCACUUAUAAAAAGCUGGGAAUGUUAACUUUUGUUUCAUGAAUUUUACUUCUUUCCCAAACAGUUUAAUCACUUAUAGGUCUUAGUUUACUUCUCACUUCGUGUCCACUUCUUUAUUUUUAUUUCAAGUAGAAAACACUUUUUUUAAAAUUAUCCAAAAAGCCCCUAAAUAUGUUCUCUGGGCAUUGAAAGAGUUGAGCAUCAGUUUAUAGGGUGACCAAAACAAGGCAUCAACUCAUUGUUUUUCUAAUAAUGAAAUGCUUCCCCAGAUAGGUGUGUGUCUGUACAAUGUCCGCAUAAUGUAUAAUAUGCUGGACGCAGACAAUAAUGUAAUGCAUUGUAAUUUGCUACUAUGAAAAAGCACACUGUAAUGUACUUGUCCAGAAUGAAUUAAUGAAUUUUUCUGUAACGUAAUUUAGAGCAGAAGUUUUACACUGUU